CUAAUUUAGCUCGUGGGCACGGUGGAGAGCUCGAGCUCGGGAGAUUUUCGUCGUCGUUUCAGAGAGCCAUUCGAGCAUGCGUUCGUCGUGGUAGCGCCGUGGAAAGGCCGGGCGAGCGUGCGGUUUCGCUUCUUUCGACUCCUCACCGUUGUUGGACGCGUUUUAGAGUGGAUUAAAAGCCUUCUUCUUCGGCUGCUGUUGCUGCUGAUUCGGACCGUGAAAAGGGAGUCGCGAGUUAGAUCCCUUCCAAGUUGCUGCUGAGCUAGAAUAUACCAGCUACAAGUAGUGGUAGUUUUUGAGUUCAUAUAUAUACUUAUGUUGUAUCUCGCUAGAACGAGCGUUUUGUACACCUGAAUUUGAUGUAUGUAUAGUGAGCUUCUAUUUUUAUAUUUAAUUUCUUUUAGCAGCUCUAUA